UAACAGUGAAGAAAGAGGAAAAUGUUUUGUUGCUAAAAACAAUGUGUUUAUAUAAAUUAUAAAAAAACCCCUUUAAAAUUCAAGAUGAAAUGACAAGUUAACACCAUAGAAGAAAAACAUAUUUCCAAACAAAACAACAAACGUCUCAAGAACUUUUUUAAUCUGCUGCUGUUUCAGCUCUCACAGGUGCAGACGAUUGCCCCGUUAAAUGGUUUGUUGAGGCACACUAAAAUGCCAUAGAGACAACAACAGAUGGUCUGAUAUCGUACCUGUCAGCAGACAUGUGGGACGCUCUGCUGUGGAGCUGCUGAGCACGCGCAGACCUCCCAUGUUUUUUUGGAGUGGCCAUCAACUCAUUAACAAACAGACGCGCUGAUUCUUUCGCUCUAUAUCUUUGCACUGCUGGAUAUUAUUCUUCCUAUUACCUCUCAGAACUCCAAUCACCAGAUGUCCUGUGGAGAAACAAAGCUGCGAGACACAGUCAGAAAUGGAAACAGCACAGAGAAUGUCAAUUUCCUCCAAUCGGCUCAGAGGGCAGGUUUUUUUCCUGCAGGGGGAAGAUUAGGUUGAUGUCAAACCUGAGGUCCAAUGAGUUUAAAUGUGCUGAAGCCAGCUUGGGUGAAUCUGAAAAUGCACUGAAUUCCCUACAAAGAAGCUCUAAAAUAUCAGUGUCAACCUAUUUCAGUUCACCUACAAUCCUGCGUUAUGGGUAUAUUUACAGUGUGCAGCUGCUAGUGAUAUUCCUUUUAGUGUCAAGUCAGCCGACAGUGACUCUGAGGAUGCCAAGCGUAUCCAUCAGAAUCCAUUAGUCGUCUGUUACUAAUUACCAGUGACUCCAGGGUUGAUUAAAA